rnacentral:lncRNA from 1 species
GAAAUAAGCAGAGGUCCAGAAACAGGGCUACCCACCAAUCGCGUGGUGACAGAGGAGAGAGGGUCCUAAGGACAGAUGAGGAUGUUCUUGAUUUUGUACUCCAAGUAAAUGUAUUUAAGAAUGGUUACCCCAACCUCUGAGAAAUCUGAAAGUGGCAGCUGGAAAUGCCAGGAGAACACAUGGCAACGCUGAAUUGACAGAGUUCAAACACCAAAGGGGCAUUUGAGAACUGGAGCUGCCCGAUGGCAAGAGGGCACUUGUAUCAGAAGCUUCACUGCACAGGCCUACAGUAAAUGGUGCCUUGACAUCAAAUGAGUUGGUUGGCUAGUUCCUUCCCCAUGAAAUUGUUAUUUUAAACCCCAAACUACAUGGCAUAAUUUCCAGUCUGCUGACUGAAAAUCAGAAUGGAGCAUAACUAUUUUCCUUGCAGAAAAAGGCUGCCCAGGGAUGUACUGGAGAUGAUCAGGAGAGACAUGCUUUUCUCCUUCAAACCUUUUGCCUACUUUGUAUUUCCAGUUUUCACAGCCCACCUUUUUCUGAGACCACACACAGAGACUACACUGAUUGGAAUCAAGUUUAAAGGCAUGGCUUACAUUCAGGUGAAUUAAAGAAUCACAACUAUUAGUAUGAGACUU